rnacentral:rRNA from 1 species
UACGUAGGCAGCAAGCGUUGUUCGGAGUUACUGGGCGUAAAGGGUGUGUAGGCGGUUGUUUAAGUUUGGUGUGAAAUCUCCCGGCUCAACUGGGAGGGUGCGCCGAAUACUGAAUGACUAGAGUGCGGGAGAGGAAAGUGGAAUUCCUGGUGUAGCGGUGAAAUGCGUAGAUAUCAGGAGGAACACCGGUGGUGUAGACGGCUUUCUGGACCGUAACUGACACUGAUGAACGAAAGCCAGGGGAGCAAACGGG